CAGCAGCCGCGGUAAUACGAAGGGGGCUAGCGUUGCUCGGAAUGACUGGGCGUAAAGGGCGCGUAGGCGGAUUGUUUAGUUAGGCGUGAAAUUCCUGGGCUUAACCUGGGGACUGCGCUUAAUACAGGCAGUCUAGAGUGAGGAAGAGGGUUGUGGAAUUCCCAGUGUAGAGGUGAAAUUCGUAGAUAUUGGGAAGAACACCGGUGGCGAAGGCGGCAACCUGGUCCUUGACUGACGCUGAGGCGCGAAAGCGUGGGGAGCAAACAGGAUUAGAUACCCCCGUAGUCCCUGUCUCUUAACA
rnacentral:rRNA from 1 species